AAUAUGACAGUGGCUUGACACCCAGUCUGUGAUAUUGCUCCUAGUUUCCGGUCUAAUUGCUGCCUGACAUUCUGUAUUAGCAUUUUCAUGAGCAAGCAGCUGAACGAUCACUUUCUUGGCAUGAAAAUUGGAAAUAGCCUUUUGAGCUGCAUCCUGCAAACGGGCGAUAGAAUCUGGAAAAGGCUCCCUUGGACCUUGUUGAACUGUGUGAAAAGGAUAAGCAGUAGCAGGGUCGUGAAUUUUUUCCCAGGCUCUUAGGCAUGUAGUUCUGAGCUGAUCAACAGCCUUAUCACCCAUUACCAUCUCUUGAUUUAGAGUACCCCAUGCCUGUCCGAUUCCAAGCAAUUGAUCAGAUGUGAUAUUAAUGGGACAUUGGACUUGAGCAUUUCUGCGUGCCUGAUUUGUUGCUUCAUCCGUCCACCAGGUUUUAAAUUGGAGAAAUUCAGAGAGGUCUGGGUGGAUCAGGCUAAUGCCUCCCAAUCCAUAGGUAUUCAACGUCUGUUAUAAGUCAUAUAUUGUAACAAGGAAUGAACAUAAGGAGAAUUUGGCCCAUCUUGUCCAAUUGCUUGCUUUAAGUCUUUUAAUAUUUUAAAAGGAAAUGGGUCCCAGCAUGCUUGAGCAAGUUCUCUGGGCUCCUCAGCUGGCGAAAUAAUUACCAGAAACUGCCAAGCAUUCAAAUCCCCUAUUUCUUGUACCUGGCGAAUGGAUGCCUGGAUUGUCCCUGUGCCAUAAUUUGUAUUUGGACAGGCUCGCAGCAUUCCUUUACCAUAAUUAACAGGUGGGCAGGCCUGGAUCAUUCCCUCAUGGUAAUUGGCUUUUGGACAAGCCUGAAGCUUCCCUUCACCAUAGUUACUGGAGGGGCCUGCAACAAAGGGAGCCACAAGGCGAGUCUCAGGCUCCCAUUCCAAAAAUUCCUAAGGCUGGCCUGGGGGUGGCCAUUCCAGACCUUCCCCUAAAGGCGCAGUAGGUGGCACUGUUCCUUUUAUAACUUUUUGGAGAUAGCGUACAUACCUUCCCGUUUCUCGCCCUUUUUAAAACUAAACUGUCAUAGUUCACUUUGCUGAUAGACUCCUGAUUAUUCAACUUUCCUAUGUCAUCCUGAAACUCCUCCUUCUCCUCCUCAGUGUGGAAGGGCUCCAGUGCUGUUUUAAUUGCUGACCACACAGACUAAGCAGAGACGGGAAUAUCGUGGCCCUCUUGUUGUGCUCGUUUUAAGUGUGCUCGUUUUAAGUCUGAUCCGACCUUGUCCCAAUCUUUCACAUUCAUGGUUCCAUAUUCCGGGAACCAAGGAGAAUACUUGUUUACCAGAUGGAACAAAGAUGUGAGAUUUUGGGUACUCACAAUUACCCCUCCGUGGUGCAGUAACUGCUGCACAAGGCCUAAGUAAUUAGCGAACUUACUCUCAGCCUGACCCAUAUUUUCCCGAGGUUUCCCUGGAAUUCUCCGAGUACCCCACUUACCCUAGAGCUUGAAGUGAAAACCUACUCGGGGGUCCUUUGUCGGUCGUCCUCCGCUUUCCACGCUCUGGUGUUCCUUCACUGGAUUAUUUGCAGAGAUUACCGGGGCCCUGUGUUGGGCACCAGAGACCAGCCUGGGCAACCGAAGGAGACCCCCGUUUCUACCAAAAAAAAAAAAAAAAAAAAAAUAGCCAGGUGUGGUGUCGUGCACCUGUAAUCUCAGCUACUUCAUGAGAAAUCAGACAAAACCUGGCACCAGAGACUGAUUUUCUUCUAAAAUGCUUUCUCCAAAAUAUUUUUAAAACAAAAGGGGAAAAUUGGAAAGGAAAAUAUUUUGGGUCCCCCAAAUCACUAAGAUAAAGGGAAAAGUCAAUCUGGGAACUGCUUAGGGCAAACCUGCCUCCCAUUCUAUUCAAAGUCAUCCCCUGCUCCCUGAGAAGAAUGCUUGUCUUAUUGCCUCCUUUGGAAAGGCUCAUGCAAAUUCACAAGAAUGCAACCGUUCCUCUCUCACCUACCUGUGACCUGGAAGCCCCUUCCUGGCUUCGGGUUGACCCAGUUUUGCUUCAGGUUGUACCUGAUCAAACCAGUGUUCAUCUUACAUAUGUUGAUUGAUGUCUCCUGUCUCCCUAUAAUGUAUAAAACUGUCAGAUACAGUCAGUUUCUCUUCCAAGGUUUGGCAUGUUAACGUUCUUGUUUUUUGUUCUCGAACUCAACUUUCUUGUUCUCCAUUCCUCCUUGCCCUUAGUUAACCUUCCCAUCAGUUCUACUCAAUAAACAACCUUCCCAUCAGUUCUAAUCAAAUACCUGCUCUGCACCCAUUUCUCCCUUCGAAACCACAUGUCCCACCGUUGUAACUCACAUCCCCCUUCCCCCUUCGUUAUUUGAGAAAAUAUUCACCAAUACCAACCGGGUCAGUUUAGAGCUUGAGGUCCGACCCCAGCCCAUGCCAGAGGUAGGGAUUGCGUUAGGAAUAAAAACCCCUGCUUUCCUUUGUUCCGUGUGCUCUUGCCAUUGUGAUUGAUGCAAGCAGCACACUUCUGCAGAAGUAAAUUUCGUUGCUGAGAAAACUUUUGCUUGAGUGCUGGUUUCACUUUGCAGCACCGAGCAUUUAUCUCCAACAAAACCAAGCUGUGCUCUGACCACCUUGGGCAACUGUCAUCAGGACAUUCUGAGGCUGUGUCAUGCACAAACAUCCCCAACCUUGGCAAAAUAAACUUUCUAAGUACUCUUAUCUCCAAAUGCUCAGGGAGACUGAUUUGAAUAAUCAUAAAACUCUGAGGCUGCACUCCAGCCUGGGCGACAGAGCAAGACUCUGUUUCAGAAAAAUAAAAUAAAAUAAAAUAAAAAACUCCGGUCUCCCGCACAGCCGACUCUGCGUGAAUUACUCUUUCUCUAUUGCUAUUCCCCCGUCUUGAGAAAUCGGCUCUGUCUAGGUAGCGGGCAAGGUGAACCCACUGGGCAGUUACAGAAUUGUUACUAUAUUGCUUGCAAUUACAUAUAUAUACACACACACACACAUACACAUACAUAUAUAUAUAUGUGUAUGUAUACAUAUAUAUAUAUAUAUAAUGCACAAAUAGCUAUAACCUUGUAUACAAGGUUAAAUGCGAAUGUCCUCCUUGCAUAGUCAGAUCCCAGCGGAGGAAGGACGCACCCCCUACAAACCGCUAGGCCAAAACGGUGGUUCUGGCCUCAUCCAGCCUCACGUGAGAUCGCAAUCUCCUGUCACUCAGGGCCUGAGGGGGUGGGGCCUGAAGCCGCCUACAAUCAGGGGCGCUGGGGUGGGGACCGUUCAAUCAGGCGCGCCGCCGGAAAGGAGAGGGCGGCUUCCGGAAUCUGGCUGGCGGGCGCUUUGUCUCGCCUUCGCCACAGGAGGUUCUUUCUGUUCGUCUCCGCUGCUGCUUCUUGGCUCUGGGAGGCCCAGGUGGCUCUGCAGCAGCCUCUGCCACCCUGUGACCUGCGAGUAUUGGGACAUGCCUAGCUGACUCCUGGAUACCCGGGAAGCCGAGGAAUGGACUCUAUGGCUUUUGAGGAUGUGGCUGUGAACUUUACCCAAGAGGAAUGGACUUUGCUAGAUUCUUCUCAGAAGAAUCUCUGUAGAGAAGUGAUGCAGGAAACCUACAGGAACCUGGCUUCUGUAGGAAACAAAUGAAAAGACCAGAAUAUUGAAGAUCACUUCGAAAAACCUGGGAAAGAUAUAAGAUAAUUUGCACUGAGAAGAGGAAGUAAAGUCCUCUGAAGGAAUCUUAGUAUGUCAUGAACUUAAAAACAAGCAAUCAAAGCAAAAAUCAUAUGUUACAGAG